rnacentral:rRNA from 1 species
GAUGAACGCUAGCGGCAGGCCUAAUACAUGCAAGUCGAGCGGCAAGUCGAGGAGUAAUCUGAGACCUAGAGCGGCGUACGGGUGCGUAACGCGUAUGCAACCUACCUCAUACAGGGGGAUAGCCCGGAGAAAUCUGGAUUAAUACCCCAUGGCACAGCACAAGGGCAUCUGCGAGCUGUUAAAGAUUCAUCGGUAUGAGAUGGGCAUGCGUCUGAGUAGCUAGUUGGCGGUGUAACGGACCACCAAGGCGACGAUCAGUAGGGGUUCUGAGAGGAAGGUCCCCCACACUGGCACUGAGCUACGGGCCAGACUCCUACGGGAGGCAGCAGUAGGGAAUAUUGGGCAAUGGUCGGAAGACUGACCCAGCCAUGCCGCGUGCAGGAAGAAGGCCUAUUGGGUUGUAAACUGCUUUUAUCUGGGAAAGAAAAGGCCCGUGCGCGGGACAUUGCCGGUACCAGAUGAAUAAGCACCUGCUAACUCUGUGCCAGCCGCCGCAGUAAAAC